GCUUCUGAAUGCUCCGAUUGCUGAGCAUUUGGGGAAUUUUCUGUAUCCUAACAGAACGGGUAGAAAAUACAUCUCUGCCAGAUUGGCAGCAUCUUGCCCUGAUGUAGAUGGCUGCACAAGGUCCAGGAUAAUUCUGGCAGAUGAAGAAGCUCCUCAGCUUUACAGUUCUGCUUUAAAAUGCUCCUGACAGAUCAAUCCUCCCUUGGAAGAUUAUCGGCAAAUCUGAAAAGUGAUGUAACUGUGGACUACUGCUGCACAGCAGCUGUGCAAUGAGCACAUUAUAAGUGAUUGUUUAAUUUUACACCCGUAUAAACUUUGCCAUAAAAUGUUUGAAUGGGAGUUUUUUAUGUCAGGGGUAUUUUGUAAUGAAGCAAGUAAUUGACAAAGCUAUUUCCCCUCCCUAGGAACCUCACGGGGAAGGAAGCUUUGAAUGUCUUUAUGUCUUUAUUUUGAAUGUUCCAGUGACCCGCUAUGAGAGAUUCUGACCAAUAUCAAUUGGGAAUAUAAGUGCUAACUUUUUAGCACUUUCCCCCUAUAUGUCUUAAAAUAUAUAUACAUAUUUACUGAGGGAUAAAAAAAGGUCGGUAAGAGUAACUUUCUUGCAUUCGUAAUGGCACAUAAUGAGUCAGAACAGAAAUUAAUGUCUAGAACAGUGGGGAAUCCCUGAGCAGAAAUGUUACCUCCUCUUUGGGGGAAAAACCCCCACACCGAAAACUGAGCGAAAACCACCCCAAACCUAGCUUUCCUUACACCCCAUUCUUCUCAGAUCUCUUGGAAUUCGAUUUGUCUUAUGUAGGGUAAAAGCCAUGACCUAACGUUGCUAAAAGUUAACUUACUCUUAGUAAAGAAAGGUUAAUCACGCAUUAUAUAUUUUAUUGUUCCUUCAUAUUGAAAGGCAAGGUAAAGAAUGUGUCUAAAAUCACUCUGUCUCUUAUAUUUUCAAGUAUGAUGAUAUAGUGGCAUCUUACAAAAGCAGAAAUUAAUCAGCCACAGAGCAAAUGUGACUUGGAUGUCAUGAACAGGUAUCAUGCAUCUGAUUUAUCUCAUCAUUGCACAACCCCAAACAGGGACAUCUUGCUUCGUUUCCUAGUCCAGCUUCAUGAGUGACUGUUCUAGUUUUACUAGUUAGAAGGUACAUCUUAUUAUUAUUAUGUCUCAGUCACGAAAGCAGAUGCUUACUAAGUGGUUGUUUUCAGGAUUCAUUCAGACCGGGACCACAGAGGAACUUCAGUGUCCCUCGGAUCUUAUUGUCAGACUUCGUCCAUGCCACAGAGCACAGGGGCCAUGAAACCCCUAGCACAAGAUUUGUACUACAGUUGUGUGACGGCCUGGGAACUUCCAACCUGAGUCAUUUGCCAUUAGAUGGCAGCGAAAAGCUCCUCUCAGUGCUGCCACGGGCUUAGGCUUCCUUCGCAAGAGGCUUUGCUCAACCUCAGACCGGUCAUACCUCUCUCUGAGAAGGAUGUUCUUUAAGCUGCUUUCAGCCACUUUGACCUCCUGCACAAAGAAUCCCUUUCCAGAAGCAAGCAAGAUUUCUCAAAGCACCUUUGAUUGCAGCCUACUUAUUCCUUGAAAACUCAUCUUCGACAUUAAAGAUGGAUAAUUAAUGGAGUAAGAAGAAGGCCACACUGAGUCAUAAGAAGAAAGAAUAUGGAGGUGGGAAGUGUAGACUGCUCUGAUCAGCACUGCAGAAGUGAUAGAGGCCACCCUAAUCAGUCAGAGCAGGGCGACCCACCUAAACCAGAAAUACGUAGCUGCCUUGCCACUGAAAACUGGUGUUACAUCACUGGGUAAGCAAAUGAGAGAAAAACAGUGAGUAAGUAACUUCAGUCAGUCUGGUAUUAAAUCCAGUUACACUAAAAUUAAAGGCUCUGCAGUUCCACUGCUAAUUCUUAAAUUUCCCAAUUUGGUGAGAGGUUUACAAUGAGAUUUAUUUGGUUGUUUCCCCAUCACUUUCUUGUUUGCCACUUCUCUAAAACAUGAUUUUCUUUUGUAGGAAAAGUUAAUAUACUCUUUCCUAAAAAGAGCUUUGAGACUUUCAUUCUUUUGUAGUGAACGUGCUCAGGCCCUGCUGGUGUUGGUUGCUGCUCUAGGAUUUAUCUAGUUACCACUAACAGCGGGUGGCAAAUAAAAAGGAAAAGCAAUGAAUUAAGCAGUCAUUCUUUGAACCUUAUUUAUUAGGCAUAAAACAAUGUAGUCCAUGAGCAAAUGUUAAUUAGUUUGAAUUAUUUGUUGACUUCUGUGUUGCCUCUGUAUUCUCCUCAGAUUAAUGACUUUAGUAUUUAGGAAAUAAUGUUCUCUUCUCUAAUUGAUAGUAAAUAGUUCAAUAUAUACACAGGAAAGGCCUGUGCAAAGUGCUUCAUCUUCCAUUGUGACUAAGGAACAAAGUUGUCUUGAUUACCAUUUAUAAACAUUAUUACAUUAGGAAAGAAAAAUUUAACUGCUGGUGUCAAUACACCUUUGAGAGAUAUAUAUAUGUAAAGAAAUAAUGUAAAUGAAGGUGCAAUAGGGAGGGAUAGAAUAUCAGAAUAAGCAUAUUACUUGGUGUCAAGGCUGUCUCAUCCUUUCAUGGUGUCCAGCUCCAGAGGUAUAAAAGAUGUGUAAAUUGCACUGUGGAAGAUCUGGGAUGAUCUGUCUCCCAUGGAAGUGUGUCCUUGCAACACUAGCUGUCUAAACUCUGGGAGUUCUCAUCACUCUGUGACUACCCCUUCUCUGCUCCUCUCCUAAUGAUACCCUGUGAUACAGCACUCACCAUCUGAAAGAUACAUGAAGUCUUAACACUCAUAGUGACACAUGAUACGUUUCAUUAGUUCAUCUUUUCAGAUCCUAGACCGCUCCCUUUUUCUAUUGUGAAGGGGGAAGAAGAGCUGAUCUACCUUCUAGAAUUUGGCCGUUUGUACACAUUUUAAUAAUAUUUGCUCUUAUUUUGGCUUAUAAAAUAAACAGU